AAAUUAAAAAAAUGGGUAGUAUCUUAGUUGUUGCAUACAUUUGACGCUCAUUAUAUAUCAAAAUACUUGAGAAACUUGAGAUAAAUCUCUGAUUCAGCAUGUGCUUUCUCGCUAUUGAUCUGCGAAGUGAUUUUCAAGCGUGUUGAAAAAAAAUUGUCAUUUUGCAUUCUUUAAAUUCGAUUUUGACCCUCUGUAAUUUCGUAACAAAGCAUUUUUAUUCAAUCGUUUAAGACAAACAAGAGUUAGAUUUUUACGUAAAAUUCGUGGAUAAAAUAAUGUCAUUUUCCAAUUAAUUACUUUAGUACAUAACUAACAUUCACCUAUUAAGUACAUUCUAUAGAUUGAAAUAUUAGAAACAAUUUUUAUAAACAUCCUAGAAAUUAGUUGUUAAAGAGACGAGAACCUUUAGAAGACAGAUGUUUUGAGAACAUUUGCCAAAUUAGACAUUUACCUUACGAAAUUCUCAGUAUUUAUUAUGAUGGAAAAACACAUUUUUAUGGUGAACACUCUACGCUGUCCAAAAUCAACUCAGAUGCAGUUUUUUGCUUAAAAGCAUUGCCGCAAGUUCAGUGCCUAAUCUACGAAAAAAAGCUGCCUUCUAAAAGACGCCAGACCUUUUGACGAUUUUUUUGCAAGAUCAAUAGCGAACAAAUACUUACGCGAUCAAACAGAGGUUUACCUUCAGCAUUUUAAUAUACAGUUAAAACUACCCGUUUAGGUAUGGAAAAUUUGCUGGAACUAGACAAUUUUUAACUUUCUAAACAGUGUUUUUUCAUAUUAAUGAUCUUCUAUGUUACAGACUUUUGAUGUUUUCCAAAUAUUAUUCAUUCAUAUACAGUGCUCUCGUUAACUUUU